AUUGAACGCUGGCGGCAUGCCUUACACAUGCAAGUCGAACGGCAGCGGACCUUCGGGUGCCGGCGAGUGGCGAACGGGUGAGUAAUAUAUCGGAACGUACCUUUCAGUGGGGGAUAACGUAGCGAAAGUUACGCUAAUACCGCAUAUUCUGUGAGCAGGAAAGUAGGGGAUCGCAAGACCUUGCGCUGAUUGAGCGGCCGAUAUCAGAUUAGCUAGUUGGUGAGGUAAAGGCUCACCAAGGCGACGAUCUGUAGCGGGUCUGAGAGGAUGAUCCGCCACACUGGAACUGAGACACGGUCCAGACUCCUACGGGAGGCAGCAGUGGGGAAUUUUGGACAAUGGGCGCAAGCCUGAUCCAGCCAUGCCGCGUGAGUGAAGAAGGCCU
rnacentral:rRNA from 1 species